rnacentral:misc_RNA from 1 species
ACUCCAUCAAGUUUUGCUAAUCACGAAAGGUGUGUUUACAUCCACGGAAGAAAAAUGGCAAAACUAGUCCAGGGCCCAACUCGCUUCACCCACCCUGAGUGGACAACUUCCAACUUGACACACUAUGCAAACGCUGAGUCAGAGAGAGCUGCCGCAGAAAGGCUUGUUGAGGAAUCAAAACGCUUAUCUGAAGAAACAGCAAAACGCACUGAAAAGACUCAGAGAGAUGUCAGCAAAAAAUUGGAACAGAGAAUUGAUGACAUCAAGUACUGGAAGAAGGAGCUGGAUGAUAAACUCGCCAAUUUGGUGACAGAAAUCGACAGUCUGAUCGCAUUCAAGGCCAGAGUGGAGAAAGCUUUGGAGGCCACAGCUGAGCCACUGCACAUUGCCAAGCAAUGCCUACUCAACAGGGAGAAGAGAACCUCCAUUGAUUUGGUCCAUGAUGAUGUACAGAAGCAACUGAUCAAGGAAGUAGAGACAAUUGAAGGAGUUCAGGCCCUCCUUAACAGAACUCUAGAACAGACCACUGAACAAAUAAGGUUAAACAGAAAAUCUAAAUAUCAGCUAGAAAAAGAUUUGAAGGAUAAAUUUAGUGCUUUGUCAAUUGAUGAGUAUUGUGCCGAAUUAAGAAACAAUUCCCAUGGACUUAAAUUCAAAGAUGGCGCCGCCAAAAUUGAAGCCAACUCUGUAUGCCCAGAAGAUUGGCAGGAUUUCUCAGAUGCUAACAUUCUGAAGGCGGAGAGAGAGCGCCAGAGCUCGGUGGAACUCCGCACCUUGAUUGACGGAAUCCUUCAACAGACAUCCAAUGACAUGCGCAAACAGUGCAGUGAUGUCAAUGUUGCCUUCAACAAAAGGAUUUCAGAAACAAAAGACACCAAGAGCAAGCUGGAAGAUCACCUCAACAAGAUUGUUGGACAAAUCAAAGAGGCGGAGGAGAACAUUUCCCGGUUGAAGAAGGCCAUCGACGACAAGGUCCUGCCCAUGCAGCUGGCCCAAACCCGACUGGACACGCGAAAUUGAGUCUUCCGUGGCUCAGCUCCAGGCCAGGCUCAAGCAGACAGAGGACUCACUCAAGGGACUCAUCCGUAACCAGCUGGCCCUGGAGGAGGACAUCGGGGUCAAGGCCAACACGCUAUUUAUAGAUGAGGUGGAGUGCAUGGGCAUGAGGAAGAGCAUAAAUAUUCAGAAUUUCUAAAAUAACUUUCUGCACCUAACAACGUAUAUCUGCCAGAUUGAGUCUGAGAAAAAGUGAUAUGUAAUCAAAUGAGAACAGAGACACCUUCAGUGUGAUUAAGACAACACGUUUUCUAGGUAUUCCAGUUUUUCCCUCCUUUUUAAAGCAAACACUACUUUGUAUGUGCCUGCCUAUACACAGAGUACAGAAUACUUCUUUUCAUAUCAUGGUUUUCAUUUUGAUCUACAUACAAUAGAACUAAGAAGAUGGAUUUUGUUGUUUUAUUUAAGUAUUAAAAUGUUACAUUGUUUGUAAAUAUUACUUUAUAUUGCGUUGUGUAAUAUGAGAUGAAAAUAAAUAAAAUUUUAUAUAACAUGUC